UAGGGAAUCUUCCACAAUGGACGCAAGUCUGAUGGAGCAACGCCGCGUGAGUGAAGAAGGUCUUCGGAUCGUAAAGCUCUGUUGUUAAAGAAGAACGUGGGUAAGAGUAACUGUUUACCCAGUGACGGUAUUUAACCAGAAAGCCACGGCUAACUACGUGCCAG
rnacentral:rRNA from 1 species